CUGGGGAGUACGUCCCGCAAGGAUGAAACUCAAAGGAAUUGACGGGGGCCCGCACAAGCGGUGGAUUAUGUGGUUUAAUUCGAUGAUACGCGAGGAACCUUACCAAGACUUAAAUGGGAAUUGACAGAUUUAGAAAUAGAUCCUCCUUCGGGCAAUUUUCAAGGUGCUGCAUGGUUGUCGUCAGCUCGUGCCGUGAGGUGUUAGGUUAAGUCCUGCAACGAGCGCAACCCCUGUCACUAGUUGCUAACAUUCAGUUGAGGACUCUAGUGAGACUGCCUACGCAAGUAGAGAGGAAGGUGGGGAUGACGUCAAAUCAUCACGGCCCUUACGUCUUGGGCCACACACGUAAUACAAUGGCCGGUACAGAGGGCAGCCACACAGCGAUGUGAUGCAAAUCUCGAAAGCCGGUCUCAGUUCGGAUUGGAGUCUGCAACUCGACUCUAUGAAGCUGGAAUCGCUAGUAAUCGCGCAUCAGCCAUGGCGCGGUGAAUACGUUCCCGGGCCUUGUACACACCGCCCGUCAAGCCAUGGAAGUUUGGGGUACCUGAAGUCGGUGACCGUAAAAGGAGCUGCCUAGGGUAAAACAAGUAACUAGGGGCU
rnacentral:rRNA from 1 species